rnacentral:lncRNA from 1 species
AGCACCUGGAACGCCACCCCACCAUGCGGAUGUACACCCUAGUCCUCUGAAGACCUGCUCCUUCCUCUCCUCGGUCAUUUCUCUUCUGACAGUCUCCGGAGUCUGCUGGGACCACAGUUGACCUCCAACUUGGAACCUUCCUGCCUCAGACUUCAAGGUGAUGAUGGAUUUACAGGAAGAUGCCAUCUUUCUUGCCUGUAGCAUCA